rnacentral:rRNA from 1 species
UAGGGAAUAUUAGAAAUGGACGAAAGUCUGAUCUAGCAACACCGCGUGUGCGAAGAAGGCCUUCGGGUUGUAAAGCACUUUUUGGAAGGAUUAGGAAGGAAUGUACUUCCAGAAUAAGUCUCGGCUAACUACGUGCCAGAAGCCGCGGUAACACGUAGGAGGCAAACGUUAUACGGAGUUACUGGGCGUAAAGCGCGUGUAGGUGGUGCUGUAAGUAGGGCGUGAAAGCUCCGGGCGCAACGGGGAGAGUCCGUUCUAAACUGCAGAGCUAGAGGAGGGUAGAGGGAGGUGGAAUUCCGGGUGUAGCGGUGGAAUGCGCAGAUAUCCGGAGGAACACCAGUGGCGAAAGCGGCCUCCUGGACCAUUCCUGACACUCAGACGCGAAAGCUAGGGUAGCAAACG